GGGAUGGGUGCUGCUGGAA
rnacentral:piRNA from 1 species